rnacentral:tRNA from 2 species
GGAGAAAUACUCAAGUGGCCGAAGAGGCGCCCCUGCUAAGGGCGUAGGCUGGGAAACCGGUGCGAGGGUUCAAAUCCCUCUUUCUCCGCCA